rnacentral:rRNA from 1 species
GAUGAACGCUGGCGGCGUGCCUAAUACAUGCAAGUCGAGCGAACGGACGAGAAGCUUGCUUCUCUGAUGUUAGCGGCGGACGGGUGAGUAACACGUGGAUAACCUACCUAUAAGACUGGGAUAACCUCGGGAAACCGGAGCUAAUACCGGAUAAUAUUUUGAACCGCAUGGUUCAAAAGUGAAAGACGGUCUUGCUGUCACUUAUAGAUGGAUCCGCGCUGCAUUAGCUAGUUGGUAAGGUAACGGCUUACCAAGGCAACGAUGCAUAGCCGACCUGAGAGGGUGAUCGGCCACACUGGAACUGAGACACGGUCCAGACUCCUACGGGAGGCAGCAGUAGGGAAUCUUCCGCAAUGGGCGAAAGCCUGACGGAGCAACGCCGCGUGAGUGAUGAAGGUCUUCGGAUCGUAAAACUCUGUUAUUAGGGAAGAACAUAUGUGUAAGUAACUGUGCACAUCUUGACGGUACCUAAUCAGAAAGCCCCGGCUAACUACGUGCCAGCAGCCGCGGGUAUACGUAGGUGGCAAGCGUUAUCCGGGAUUAUUGGGCGUAAAGCGCGCGUAAGCGGUUUUUUUAAGUCUGAUGUGAAAGCCCACGGCUCAACCGUGGAGGGUCAUUGGAAACUGGAAAACUUGAGUGCAGAAGAGGAAAGUGGAAUUCCAUGUGUAGCGGUGAAAUGCGCAGAGAUAUGGAGGAACACCAGUGGCGAAGGCGACUUUCUGGUCUGUAACUGACGCUGAUGUGCGAAAGCGUGGGGAUCAAACAGGAUUAGAUACCCUGGUAGUCCACGCCGUAAACGAUGAGUGCUAAGUGUUAGGGGGUUUCCGCCCCUUAGUGCUGCAGCUAACGCAUUAAGCACUCCGCCUGGGGAGUACGACCGCAAGGUUGAAACUCAAAGGAAUUGACGGGGACCCGCACAAGCGGUGGAGCAUGUGGUUUAAUUCGAAGCAACGCGAAGAACCUUACCAAAUCUUGACAUCCUUUGACAACUCUAGAGAUAGAGCUUUCCCCUUCGGGGGACAAAGUGACAGGUGGUGCAUGGUUGUCGUCAGCUCGUGUCGUGAGAUGUUGGGUUAAGUCCCGCAACGAGCGCAACCCUUAAGCUUAGUUGCCAUCAUUAAGUUGGGCACUCUAAGUUGACUGCCGGUGACAAACCGGAGGAAGGUGGGGAUGACGUCAAAUCAUCAUGCCCCUUAUGAUUUGGGCUACACACGUGCUACAAUGGACAAUACAAAGGGCAGCGAAACCGUGAGGUCGAGCAAAUCCCAUAAAGUUGUUCUCAGUUCGGAUUGUAGUCUGCAACUCGACUACAUGAAGCUGGAAUCGCUAGUAAUCGUAGAUCAGCAUGCUACGGUGAAUACGUUCCCGGGUCU